CACGUAGGGGGCGAGCGUUGUCCGGAUUUAUUGGGCGUAAAGAGCUCGUAGGCGGCUCGGUAAGUCAGGUGUGAAACCUCCAGGCUCAACCUGGAGACGCCACCUGAUACUGCCGUGGCUAGAGUCCGGUAGAGGAGCGUAGAAUUCCUGGUGUAGCGGUGAAAUGCGCAGAUAUCAGGAGGAACACCGGUGGCGAAGGCGGCUUUCUGGACACUUACUGACGCUGAGACGCGAAAGCGUGGGGAGCAAACAGG
rnacentral:rRNA from 1 species